CCCUCCCGCCCUCCGGGCCGGGUCCCCAGGAGAACGGGUGUGGUGGUCAGGCUGCCUUCCCCCCAGACAGCCCCAGCACAGCGCAGAGCAGAGAGGGAGCGCGUCCCCACGGGCCAGGCCCAGGCGGGAGGAUGGGGGCACCGAGGCCGGUGCCCUGAGGCUACGGAGGGCCGCGACCGUCACCCCGGGAACCACUCCUAUGGGCAGGCAUGGCACUCACCACUCCCUUCCUGUCCAGAGCUGCUCCUGGACGACAGCUGUGCGGAGGACCAGGACGGGGAGCUGGAUGGGCUGUGGACCACCAUCUCCAUCUUCAUCACGCUCUUCCUGCUCAGCGUGUGCUACAGCGCCACUGUCACCCUCUUCAAGGUGAAGUGGAUCUUCUCCUCGGUGGUGGAGCUGAAGCGCACGAUCGCGCCCGACUACAGGAACAUGAUCGGGCAGGGGGCCUAGGGCCAGCCGUCCCGGGCGGGUGUCAGCGCUGCCCCAACCCUGCACAGGAUCCCGGUGCGUCAGCCUGCUGCCAGGCCUGCUCUCCCGCCCUCUGACCUCGCCACCC